AACGAACGCUGGCGGCAUGCCUAACACAUGCAAGUCGAACGAGACCUUCGGGUCUAGUGGCGCACGGGUGCGUAACGCGUGGGAACUUGCCCUUAGGUUCGGAAUAACUCCCCGAAAGGGGUGCUAAUACCGGAUAAUGUCUUCGGACCAAAGAUUUAUCGCCUUUGGAUGGGCCCGCGUUGGAUUAGCUAGUUGGUAGGGUAAAAGCCUACCAAGGCGACGAUCCAUAGCUGGUCUGAAAGGAUGAUCAGCCACACUGGGACUGAGACACGGCCCAGACUCCUACGGGAGGCAGCAGUGGGGAAUAUUGGACAAUGGGCGAAAGCCUGAUCCAGCAAUGCCGCGUGAGUGAUGAAGGCCUUAGGGUUGUAAAGCUCUUUUACCCGGGAUGAUAAUGACAGUACCGGGAGAAUAAGCUCCGGCUAACUCCGUG
rnacentral:rRNA from 1 species